AUUCUUCACUGUAGUUAUAUGAAUUUUAAUAUGUUAAGAUUCUGGGUGAGUUAGAAUAUUUUAUACUUUGAAAGUAAACAGUAAUAUCCUCUUAAUUUUUUUUAGCAGUAUAUUGACCAUAAUGAAUUGUCUGUAUUUACAGAGAUAUCUUGAUCACACUUGAGCACCAUACCUGAAUUAAUUAUUUAGGAACCACCAAAUAGAUUAGAACCUGCUUCUUCUCACCUGAGAUUGCCUAAUUGAGUUUGUGGUGGCCAUGCACAAUCCACUUGUUAAAUACUUCAGCUGCUGAGGUGAGCUGAAACAUAGCCUUUUGCUGCUUAUGAGUUACCUGAACAGAUUAUUUCAAAGGUCCUCAUUCUGCUCCUGAAGUUUCAAAUAGUGCUAAGGAGAAAUUAAGUAAAGCACACUCCAGCACUGCUUAUGAGCUACACAGUAUCAGACAGGUUGUCAGAAUGCUUUUGCAGACACUUUCAAAGGGCUCUAGGGAAAAAAAAAAGUUAAGUCAAUAGUCUGCCAUACAGAAAAUUUCAUCAUAGUUAUUUCUCAAAUGUCAGGUAUGAAUUAGGUUUGAUUUAUUGGAUUGUGUUUUAGUGAAACAUCUAAAAAAACAGUAGAGUAGAUGUAUUUUCAGAGCCUGAGUACACAUGCCUUGACUAAGAGUUCAGGGAAGGAUAUUUUGUGGGAGGAUGUUGCAGUCUGUAUUUUCUGUAGCAGGAUUACAACGACAGGUAGUGAAGAUGUGGGAAGACUGUGUACUUCAACACAAAACUUCCAGAAAGGGAACAGAUUUGCCAGUACUGAGGAAGCUUUUAGAAAGGGAAAACUGAGGUACAUAUAUUGCCACAGAAACAAGUGGUAAAUAUUCACAUUUUUAUCAGGAGGACAGUAAAGAUACUUCUGGACCAAUGGUCAUUAUGCUAUAUAGUGCUUUACAAGUCCAAUUAUACAAAUACUUGGAAAAUUUAGUUGUACAUAACUACUUCAGUGCUUUCUAGUGUAAUUAUACAAAGUGUGUGUAGAUCAUAUCUACACAGAGAGUAAAACCAGUAGACAUGAAAUGUACAGCCUCAGUGGUUUCAAUUUUCACUCAUGUCAUCACUGUUGCAGAAGGAGCCGCUCUGUGAGGAAACCCUGUUACAAUGAACACCAGAGGAGAAACUGCCUGCUGCCUCCAAGGACCUGACAUUUGUUCUUCCUUACCUGGCUGCUCCACUUCAUCUAGAAUGAAUAUUAUCAUGAAUUAUGGCAUAUGACAUUCCCUCUGUAGAUGAACUGUGGCCUGUCCCAUUGGCAAUCUUAUAAAUGAACCAGUCAUCACUUGUGGGAAAUUUCAGAACCUAUAAAAUUACUUUGCUUUGGGAAAUGGCUGAGUUUUCAUUUUUCAUUCAGGACCAGUCACAAAGGAAACCAGAGGCAUCAGUAUGCUAUCUCCAAUUUUAAAAAGUGCUGAGCAGACAAUAUUUGACUUUUAAAAAGAAAGGGGAAAAAAAAAGUAUAUCUUAAAUUGGAAGAGUUAAAUGUAAUCCUGUUCUUUUUUACCUUAAAGUGGUAGGAAUGAUAUCUUCCAACAACUAACCUAGCUUGCAGCAGGAAAACAAGUGAGGUAGAGGGCUAGAGGUAGAGUGUUAUUUGUUUUAGGCACACCUUUCAUUUUCUGUAACAUCUUUUAUCUAUUUCCAAAAUUGAUCUGUAUACUACUGAAAAUUAUUUGUUUUCUUUAAUUCUGUUUUUGUGAAUUUUUCUUGAAUAUUAAGCUAUGAAUUACAUUUAAUAAUUUUGCUAAACAAGCAUUGAAAAUUAUCACACAACAGGCACAAGAAUCUCAGAAGCAUUUUAAAGCUCUAUAUUAAUUUAUUCUAAGACACAGUCGUGUCUUCCAUUAGGUUAAAUAUAUUGCAUUGAGUGACCUGUAGGAUUUGCUAAACCAAGGGAAAAGUGUUUUAAAAUCCUGAGAAUUAGGAAUAAAUGAAAGUACAGCUUUGUACUCCAGAUUGCUGUAUAUGAGACCCUUUAUAACAGAGAUAUGAGCACCAAAUCGUUUGAUGUACCUGGCUGAAGGAAAUGAGCAGCGUGAUCAAAUUAAGAUUUGAAGAAGUAAGUACAUAAUAUUUACAUAUCUGGAAAUAAGAAAUAGCCUUGAGAUGAAAAUAUUUUUACUUGCUACUUCAGUGGAGUAGGUUUUGUAGGUGCUUGUCACUUCUAUGGGUAUCUACUUGUGGGUAUGCCUGCUGAGUGCACAGACAGAUCCUAGCACAAGAACAAGAUGAUCUGAUGCCUUUGUAGGGACCUUUCUUAGAUGAGCUCUGAGAUACCUACACUGACAGGCUUUAGAGGCCACAACUCUCAGAAGCAGAGAAAAUUUUCAGACCAACUGCUGGAACCUGGUAGUAGAAAUAAAUGCUUUAUCUCUUAUAUGACAACAUCAAAAUUGGAUCAGAAAGUAAGUAAAAAAAUCGUAGAUAAAAAUUAUUUCUAUGAAUACUUCAUCCAUAACAGAGGUAAGUAUAACCUGAGAGGAUUUUUUUCUUUGUAGCAUCAUAAAAAUCAGUGGUGUGGAACUGUAUUCCUGCCUGCAACUUUCCUCUUUGUGACAGAUCCCAGAUUUGGUAUUUUCAAGACAGCAUUUCCCUAACCACUACUACGGAGAACACUGUGUCUUGAAAGGCUCUUGGAGGAGUGUGUUUUAAAAAAACUUUCAUGUGUCCAAUCUCCUGUUUGGCCUUUCACACAAGAGGCACAACCUGGCACAGGAGAAGUCUCAUGUGGUGGUGAUAAGACUGAUGGUGGGAGUUCAAGUCAAUGCAUAAAGCAAAAAACUGAAGUUGGACAUUAUUUCAUCUGGCUAUUUCCAUAAGGAAAAUAGGGUAACAGCACUUUAUUUGCUACAAAACCAGAAAAUUUAAUUGGAUAGUUGAGAAAUUCUAGAUUAACAAAUUGUGUCACCAGGCUUAAAGCUUCACUGAUAAAAACAAUUCACAGUGCCACUUUAUGGAUAGAUUCAUUGUAGGAAUCCACAGGGUUAGUCAUGGGACUAAGCUUGGUGUUAAGAAACUCCAGUCCAGAAGAGAUUAUAUUUCAGUCUGUACUGUCAUGUUAAAUUAGGGUUCCAGUUUGCACUUUCAUCCACAUGUCUGAUUGUCUGUGCUGCUUGCUUAUUGAUUUAUACUCCAACUAAUAUCUGGAGCAAACCAGCCAAUUUACCAGGUGGUAAAUAGAAACAGAAACACAGACUCACAAAAUUGAAUCUUGCCUUUUCAGGCUGGGGCAACUCCAAUCUCUCAAGGCACAGGGCAUAAAUGUGGGUUAUUCUUUGUCAUAAUUAAAUAAAUACAGAUUAGAAGAGCAUAGAAAAUCCCCCUGCAAAUCCCCACCAAGGGAGUCUGGUAUUGUGAUUUCUCCUGGGACCAUAUCUAAAUGAAAUUCCUUUUUCCUUUUCAUUCUCUGACACCAAUGCUUCUGAUUUUUUACCAAGACAGAAAAAAGAGACAGAACAGGAGAGAAAUGAGGCUGAAAUGUUGCCUUGCUUAACUUCUUUAGAAUGCUCAGGAUUAUGCAGGAGACAAAAAAAACCCAACCCUCAAGAAUGUUAAAACCAGUGUUGAUUUCUUUCCAGACGUUUCUAAGAUCAUAACAUCUGAUUCUAAACAGAGCCUGAGGUCAGAAGUGCUUUUUUCACUUCAGCUAAUUUCCUGUAUUCCAGUAAUUUUGCUUUUUAUUCCAGUUAAUGCCAGAAAAUACAAUUGCACAAUCUGCAAACAUGAAUUUAACUGUACUUUUUCUAACCCUACAAUAGUGUUUCUCAGUCAAGUACAUGAAUAUUUUGUCACAUAGGUCGAUGGGCUUUUGAGACAAAUUUUUCCAGCUUUCACAGAAAACCGUCCCUUUCUUUUGCAUCUCCAAAAUAAUCAAUGCCUUUUAUUUUGGAUUGCCAUGGAAUUAUUGAUUUUCUAAUGCACAGUCUCUUAUUAAACUCAUUAUACCUUCACUCUUACUAAACCAUGGGGACUGAGAAAUGGUUGAAUGCAGCCCCAUUUCCAAACAAUUGCUCAGCUGGAGCUGUUGUUAGCAGUACAGUGUGACAAAUUGCCCAGAUUGCCCAGAUUAUUUAUUGCAUCCAAAAGAGUUACAGACUGAAAUGACUUCUACUUGCAUAGUUAUUAAAAAGGUUUUCUACAAAUAUAUUUGUAAGAAACUUUAUGUUCACUGACAAUAAAAGCAUUUUCAAGACA